AUGCAUUGUGUGCAAUAAGCGUCCUUUAGUGUUAUUUUGUAAAAACUAUGUAUACUGUGAAAAGAUCAUAUCUAUUCGUACAGAUAGUUCAAGAAGGUGUGGUUGGGGGCCAGAUCAUGGACCAAAAAAAAUUAUCAAUAAAUCAGAUAGUUCUACAAAGUGUGGUCAGAAACCCCGGCCAGAUAAUGGAUCAAAAGGAAAAGGCAAUAACCCAGAUUCUGCAAGGCGAGCUAAUGCCUCGUCUGUGAAGUCUGGUAUGAGGUGCACUGAAGAAUUACUGAAUGUAAAAGGACCAUUUGUUGAUGUUGUGAGGUCAGUGGAGAAUCUGGAGAAGUUGUUGAAAUGCGCUGAUGUCAAUGAUUCAACAUCGUUCACAGAUGACAAAGUUGUUGCACACAUUUACAAGCUAAAGAACUUCAGGGAUCGGUGUCCCCGUCCCCAGGUCAGUGAAUCUGUCAAUAGAGUCAAUAUAGAACAAUCAACUUAUUUACCACCA
ensembl:lncRNA